rnacentral:tRNA from 1 species
GGGGCUAUAGCUCAGUGGUACAGCACACGCUUAGUGUGCAUGAAGCCCUGGGUUCAAUCCCCAGUCCUUCCA